rnacentral:tRNA from 1 species
GCGGACGUGGUGGAACUGGUAGACACGCGAGAUUUAGGUUCUCGUGGCCAAAAGCCGUGGGGGUUCAAGUCCCUCCGUCCGCA